CUUUACUGUAACUUGGAAUUGGAUUUAAGUUUUUUCUGCGCAGGAUAGGUGGGAGGCUUUGAAGAUGUUCUUGCGGGAAUAUCUGAGCCAAUGGUGAGAUACCACUCUGGAAAAACUCGAAUUCUAACCUUGUUUGCCGUUAUCCGGCCAAGGGACAGUUUCUGGUGGGCAGUUUGACUGGGGCGGUCGCCUCCUAAAAGGUAACGGAGGCGUGCAAAGGUUCUCUCAGACUGGUCGGAAAUCAGUCGUAGAGUGUAAAGGCAUAAGAGAGCUUGACUGCGAGACCUACAAGUCGAGCAGAGACGAAAGUCGGCCUUAGUGAUCCGACGGUUCCGAGUGGAAGGGCCGUCGCUCAACGGAUAAAAGUUA
rnacentral:rRNA from 1 species